UACAGAGGCCUCGAGCGUUAAUCGGAAUCACUGGGCUUAAAGGGUGCGUAGGCGGCGCUGCAAGUGCCUUGUGAAAUCCCAUCGCUUAACGAUGGAACUGCUCGGUAGACUGCAGUGCUUGAGGUUGGUAGGGGCUGCCGGAACUCUAGGUGGAGCGGUGAAAUGCGUAGAUAUCUAGAGGAACGCCCAAGGCGAAGGCAGGCAGCUGGGCCAAUUCUGACGCUGAGGCACGAAAGCGUGGGGAGCAAACAGGG
rnacentral:rRNA from 1 species